AACUCUCAAACCCCUCCACCUUCUCUGAUCUGUCAGAUGUGGAGAGGGCUUGGAUCAUGAGUGCCUGCUGGACGUAUGAAUCAGCUCGCUCUAAAUUCAUUGGUGGUCUGCUGCUCUUGCUAUCCUGCAGACCUGGUGUGAUAGUCAUUUAUUCAUCAGGUUUUGGGAACAUUUGGUGAGGUGCGGUUAGAUUGGCCUCUUGCUAUUAAAUACAAGU
rnacentral:misc_RNA from 1 species